rnacentral:rRNA from 1 species
UUUGAAAUCUGGCUCACGCCCGAGUUGUAAUUUGUAGAGGAUGCCUCUGGCGCGGCGCCCCCCGAGUUCCCUGGAACGGGACGCCAUAGAGGGUGAGAGCCCCGUACGGGUGGACGCCUAGCCUCUGUGUGGCACCUUCGACGAGUCGAGUAGUUUGGGAAUGCUGCUCUAAGCGGGAGGUAAAUUUCUUCUAAAGCUAAAUACCGGCCCAAGACCGAUAGCGCACAAGUAGAGUGAUCGAAAGAUGAAAAGCACUUUGAAAAGAGGGUUAAACAGCACGUGAAAUUGUUGAAAGGGAAGCGCUUGAGACCAGACUUGCGCCCGGCGGAUCAUCCAGCGCUCCGCGCUGGUGCACUCCGCCGGGCCCAGGCCAGCAUCGGCUCUCCCAGGCGCAUAAAGGCGGCGGGAACGUAGCUCUCUAGGGAGUGUUAUAGCCCGCCGCGGAAUACGCCCGGGGGGGCCGAGGUACGCGCUCCGCAAGGAUGCUGGCGUAAUGGUCUCCAGCGGCCCGUCUUGAAACACGGACCAAGGAGUCAAGCAUUAGGGCGAGUGUUUGGGUGUCAAACCCGCACGCGUAAUGAAAGUGAAUGCUGGUGAGAGCUUCGGCGCAUCAUCGACCGAUCCUGAUGUUCUCGGAUGGAUUUGAGUAGGAGCCUUAACGCUUGGACCCGAAAGUUGAUGAACUAUGCCUGUAUAGGGUGAAGCCAGAGGAAACUCUGGUGGAGGCUCGCAGCGGUUCUGACGUGCAAAUCGAUCGUCAAAUAUGGGCAUGGGGGCGAAAGACUAAUCGAAUCAACUAGUAGCUGGUUACCGCCGAAGUUUCCCUCAGGAUAGCAGUGUUGUUUUCAGUUUUAUGAGGUAAAGCGAAUGAUUAGGGACUCGGGGGCGCUAUUUAGCCUUCAUCCAUUCUCAAACUUUUAAUAUGUAAGAAGCCCUUGUUUCUUCACUGAACGUGGGCCUUCGAAUGUAUCAACACUAGUGGGCCAUUUUUGGUAAGCAGAACUGGCGAUGCGGGAUGAACCGAACGCGGGUUUACGGUGCCGGAGUGGACGCUCAUCAGACACCACAAAAGGCGUUAGCACAUCUAGACAGUCGGACGGUGGCCAUGGAAGUCGGAAUCCGCUAAGGACUGUGUAACAACUCACCGACCGAAUGUGCUAGCCCUGAAAAUGGAUGGCGCUCAAGCGUCCCACCUAUAACCCGCCC